UACGUAGGGGGCUAGCGUUGUCCGGAAUCAUUGGGCGUAAAGCGCGCGUAGGCGGUCCGGUAAGUCCGCUGUGAAAGUCGGGGGCUCAACCCUCGAAUGCCGGUGGAUACUGUCGGGCUAGAGUACGGAAGAGGCGAGUGGAAUUCCUGGUGUAGCGGUGAAAUGCGCAGAUAUCAGGAGGAACACCUAUUGCGAAGGCAGCUCGCUGGGACGUAACCGACGCUGAGACGCGAAAGCGUGGGGAGCAAACAGG
rnacentral:rRNA from 1 species